rnacentral:rRNA from 1 species
AUUGAACGCUGGCGGCAGGCCUAACACAUGCAAGUCGAGCGGAUGAAGGGAGCUUGCUCCUGGAUUCAGCGGCGGACGGGUGAGUAAUGCCUAGGAAUCUGCCUGGUAGUGGGGGAUAACGUCCGGAAACGGGCGCUAAUACCGCAUACGUCCUGAGGGAGAAAGUGGGGGAUCUUCGGACCUCACGCUAUCAGAUGAGCCUAGGUCGGAUUAGCUAGUUGGUGGGGUAAAGGCCUACCAAGGCGACGAUCCGUAACUGGUCUGAGAGGAUGAUCAGUCACACUGGGACUGGGACACGGUCAAGGCUCCUACGGGAGGCAGCAGUGGGGAAUAUUGGACAGUGGGCGAAAGCCUGAUCCAGCCAUGCCGCGUGUGUGAAGAAGGUCUUCGGAUUGUAAAGCACUUUAAGUUGGGAGGAAGGGCAGUAAGUUAAUACCUUGCUGUUUUGACGUUAACAACAGAAUAAGCACCGGCUAACUUCGUG